AUGCGCAUCGCUGGUGACUGGCGAGAGUUUACCCGGAGAACGAACGUGGCAGAUCCGACGAGCCAGCCGAGUCAAUCCGCCGGCCACCGACGAAGCUUCCUUCGUUCCCUCCGCCCGACCCGCGAUCUCGAUUGGGGAAUGGGGAUGGAGGAGGAGGAGGGCGCCAUCAACGGCGGCGAGGAGGGCCCCGGCCUCGCGGCGGCGCCGCACGACCGCUGGGUCCUGCUCCGCCCCGCCCAGGGCUCCCCCCGCCCCUCCGCCCGCUACAAGCAUGCCGCGGAGGUGGUUCAAGACAAGCUGUAUGUGGUCGGGGGAAGCCGGAAUGGACGCUCUCUGUCGGAUGUUCAGGUCUUUGAUUUCAGGACAUCCAAGUGGUCAGCGUUGCUGUUAAGUCCUAGUCGGGAUUCAAACCAGCUGAAUCUUGAAAAUAAUGCCGGAAACCAGCCGUUCCCAGCAUUAGCAAGCCAUAGUAUGGUCAAGUGGAGGAAUAUGCUUCUGGUUGUAGCUGGGAACUCCAGAGCAUCAACAUCGAAUAAGGUUUCAGUUUGGUUUAUCGAUCUGGAAACAAAUAGCUGGUCUGCUGUUGAUACAUAUGGAAAAGUCCCAAUGGCUCGAGGUGGGCAAUCUGUAACACUAGUCGGUUCUCGAUUAAUAAUGUUUGGUGGAGAGGAUAAUAAGAGGAGGCUUCUGAGUGAUCUUCAUGUACUUGACUUGGAGACAAUGAUUUGGGAAGAAGUUAAAACAGAAAAAGGUGGCCCAGCUCCUAGGUAUGACCAUUCGGCUGCUGUUUAUGCUGAACAUUAUCUUUUAAUCUUUGGCGGUUCCUCUCACUCCACAUGCUUCAACGAUAUGUACUUACUUGACUUGCAAACUCUGGAGUGGUCUCAACCUGACACUCAAGGUGCACAUAUAACUCCUAGGAGUGGUCAUGCUGGUAUGAUGAUUGACGAAAAUUGGUACAUAGUUGGUGGUGGAGAUAAUGCCAGUGGUUCCACUGAUACAAUCGUAAUGAACGCUUCCAAGUUUGUCUGGUCUGUGGUCACUAGUGUGUCAGUUCGAGAUCCACUUGCUUGUGAGGGUCUCACUCUUUGUUCAGCCACAGUUGAUGGCGAAAAGUUCCUAAUUGCCUUUGGCGGUUACAACGGGAAGUACAACAAUGAGAUCUUUGUGAUGAAACCCAAGCCAAGAAACUUUGUGCAACCUCGUCUUUUCCAAUCUCCAGCAGCUGCUGCCGCUGCAGCUUCUGUGAAAGCUGCCUAUGCUGUAAUAACUGCUACUGAUGAGAAAACUAAAGAUAUUGUUGCUACUGAUGAUUUGGAUGUGAAAAGAGCUGAACCUGGAAGUUCUUCCAAACAAAUGGUUGCCGAAAUUGAUGCACUUAAUGGGGAGAAAGGAGAACUAGAGUCUCGACUGGCAGAAGUUCGCAGUGAAAACUCAAAGCUAAAGGAUAAACUAGAUAUGGUGAAGUUGUCCUAUGGUGAAUUAACAAAGGAACUCAGAUCAGUUGAGAAUCAGCUAGCUGCUGAGGGUUCAAGAUGCCAGAAACUGGAGUCCCAAAUUGCUGCUGCGCAUAAAAGGUUGGAGUCUGCCAGUUCUCUGGAGAAUGAACUGGAAGCCUUGCAGCAACAAAUAUCUCAGGCUGAACAAACCAUGACGACUUCUCAGAGACGGAAAUCUGGGGGCGUAUGGAAGUGGGUGGGAGGAAGUGCAGAGGUCUCCGACAAUGAAUAG
rnacentral:rRNA from 1 species